rnacentral:rRNA from 1 species
GGAAACUCUGUGCCAGGAGACGCGGUAAUACAGAGGGGGCGAGCUGUUAUCUGAAGUGUUGGGCGUUAAGCUGGCGUAGGUGGUUUGGUAAGCAUGUCGUGAAAGCCCUGGGCUGAACCUGGGAACUGCGAUGGAAACUGGGCGACUAGAGUGUGGUAGAGGGUAGCGGAAUUCCUGGUGUAGCAGUGAAAUGCGUAGAUAUCAGGAGGAACAUCCAUGGCGAAGGCAGCUACCUGGGCCAACACUGACACUGAGGCACGAAAGCGUGGGGAGCAAACAGGAUUAGAUACCCCAGUAGUC